rnacentral:lncRNA from 1 species
CCUAGUUAAUAGGGAGUCUAGCUUCAAACCCACAUCUGACUGAAUCUAAUUCCACCUACAGCUUUGAAGGCUCAGAAAACAUAACUGCUUGAAAAACUGAGUUAACUCUAUGACUGCCAGGACAAAAGCUUAGGAUUUAGAAAUGAAACAAUGAAUAAGUAGACAUUUUGCUCUCAUUUUGUUAUUUUUUACUUUAUUUUCCAAAUAUGUUUAGGUUAAAGAAAAGAACAUGGGAUUUAGAGUCAAAUAGGCAGGUGUUUUGAUUCUACCCUUGCUAACCCUGUGACCUUUGGACAGCCUACGUUGUCCAGUGGAGGCAGCCUUCCCAUUCCAACGGACAUUUGUGGGAUAUUAGAGACCAAGAAGUGUUAAGAGAUGAUCUUCACAAAAUGCUGAGCUUGUGUGGGUGUCGAACUACAAACAGGAGGAGAUGGAUAUUCACAUGCAGUGGUGGAGGGUUAUGGCUCUCCAGCCUGGAGGAUUGGAGCUUGAGCCAGGAAAGAAGCUUUCAUUUGCAUCAAUAUGCUAGUCCAUGGAGUACACAGAUUGUUCUACAAACCAUAUGGUGACUAAGCCUCAUUAUUGAAUGCAGUUGACAUGGAAACAACUAGUCAACAUCAAAUAAAUAGAUUAUUUUGUGCAAAUAGCUGCCUCUUUGUGACAAUAAUAAAUACUUUAUUUGUAUCAGGAAAAUGUCUAACAAUAAUUCAAUGACAAUUAACAAUACCUUUAUGGCCUUCAAUUGCUUGUAUAUUCUCUCACUCUCUCUGUAUGUAUAUACACACAGA